rnacentral:rRNA from 1 species
UACGUAGGGUGCGAGCGUUGUCCGGAUUUAUUGGGCGUAAAGAGCUCGUAGGCGGUUUGUCGCGUCUGCUGUGAAAACUGGAGGCUCAACCUCCAGCCUGCAGUGGGUACGGGCAAACUAGAGUGCGGUAGGGGAGAUUGGAAUUCCUGGUGUAGCGGUGGAAUGCGCAGAUAUCAGGAGGAACACCGAUGGCGAAGGCAGAUCUCUGGGCCGUAACUGACGCUGAGGAGCGAAAGCAUGGGGAGCGAACAGG